AUAUAUAUAUAUAUAUAUAUAUCUUACUAGUCCAGUCGAGUUACAUUGAAUUAAAUUAAAUCCAUUUCAUUAAAAAAAUUCUAAUUAUUGUUCUAUCGCUUAAUGUGGUCCUAUUGACAAUUGAGAAUGAGAAUCUGUUCAAGUUGCUUAUAUCUGGGGACUGAGUGGAGAUAGAGGAAAAUAUUACAAAUGAAUGUUGUAGACCACCAACUGAACUGCAAUUUGGAUUAAAAAAUUAUCAUUAUCACACAAGAAUAUCUGUGUGAAAAAUUAAUAACUUACUGUAUUAACAAAUUAUAACAUGUGUUACAAAGUUUUAUUCUUUUUAAAAAAACAAAUGAAAACUUUAAAAUUCAUAAUUUUGCAAUAAAUUUAUUUUCAGGGUGGAAAGGAGGUGUUCAAGUAUACUUAUACUUAAUUAUAAUUAUAUAUAUUAUAUAGUUGAUUGAAUGUUGAAUGAGAGGGCCAUUCUUUAUUGAUA